AUUAGGUUGUUUUGUUGCAGUUAACAAGGACUUGUUUCAAAUGCUUUCCAAAGACAUCUCAAGGAGUUUACAUUCUCCCAAGAUUAGAUGGUUGGUUUUUUAAUGCGUCACUUUGGGAACAAAUUAUAAAAAAUAACUUCGAUCUUAUAAUUUUAUUUUGAUGCCUCCGGAUGUCAUCAGCCACAUAAGCUGCAACAACCAGAACCCCUCCUGCCUUAAUGACAAUACGAAUGAGAAAGGGUGGUUGGACUCAACAUUUGUUUAUGCUGGGGAAGUGACUCUGCCACACAGCACUUUAGUAGGGCCCCAAAGGGAAAUUCAGAAGGCAAACCUGAUGGUCUUCUGGCAGUUCUUCUGAAGGCCUUUGAGUCCCAUCAGAACACGUCAAAGGGUGCAGCUGAGUAACUUAUCCAUUAGUCAGGGGCGGUGGUGGUUGGGGUGGGGAAUUGCUUAUCCUGGAAUCUGUAAGCCCAGGUGACAUAAAGAUUUGAGGAUAUGCUGGACAAGGCAAUAUUCUCUUUAUAUUAAAUAUUAAAGGGCUGUGUCUGUACACAUGACAAAACUGUUGCAAAACCAACUAAUAAUUCAGAAUUUUUCCUUUUUAUGUUUGCAUAAUCCAUUCAAUAACAAUUGAUUGAGGGGACCGUUUGCUGAUCUUUUUCAGUCACUAAGUCAGCAAAUUAAAAAUCCUAGAUCAGUGGUACCUUGGUCCACUCCUUUUAGUCACUGAGAUGUCACUGAUAUUUCUGCUAAACACACUAUACUAAAGCUAUUAAGAAGUUUUAGCGUCCACUGAAAUGAAAGGCAGGGAAUGAAUCUGUUGAGAAUCUCUCCAAAUGUGAAUCUUUAAAUCUACUUGCCAUCCAUCUCAGAAUGUUCACUGCAUGUCGUCUGAGGCUCACCAUAGUCACCGCAACUCCAGUUAGGGGGUGCUCGAUGGCUUGGCAUGUGACCACACUCAGAGCUGCCCAAGAAAGCGGACCUGGAAGGACCAGCCAGUCCCUGAGCCCAUGCGUGUCCCUGACGCGCCACAGUGUUCUUCACGGCUCCUUUACUUUCGGGAGCAGUACCCUCUCCCGUCCUGUGGUGCUGGCCUUGGCCGUGUAACACCAAUGAGGUAUCAGCAGGUGUGACAGGAGCAGGUGCUUGAAAUGUGCAGUGGGGCUUCUCUUUCUGUGCUCUUUCCUUUUGCUUCAAAAAGAACACGCUUUAGAUAGCCCCUGCUUCACGGAGGGAAUAGCUGACCCGAACCCAACCCAAAGUUUGAGGCCAAACUCAACCAAGCCCAGCCUACAUCAGCUUUGCCCAAUUUACAGCUAUAUGAGAAAGAAAAAAAUGCUUAUUUUUGUAAGCCACUAAAAUGUGAAGAUUUUUACUUGUUUCUGUUAUGCAGCAUUAUUUUGGUAAUAGCUGACUGAUACAAGGGCCUCGGAUCUAGUAGCAAGGAAUACUAUUCUUUAAAGUCCUUGCUGGGCUACAUAUAUUUGCGGUUCUUUUUUGCUGGGAAAGACUUGCUCUGAGCUAACAUCUGUUGCCAAUCUUCCUCUCUCUGUUUUUUCUCUCCCCAAAGCCCCAGUACACAGUUGUAUGUUCUAGUUUAAGUCCUUCUAGUUCUUCUAUGUGAGCAGCUGCCUUAGCAUGGCUGCUGACAGACGAGUCGUGUGGUUCCACCCCAGGAACUGAACCCGGGCCACUGAAGCAGAGUGUGCCUAACUUUAACCACUAGGCCAUCAGAGCUGGCUCUACAUAUAUUUUAAGAGUGGU
rnacentral:lncRNA from 1 species